rnacentral:rRNA from 1 species
UACGGGAGGCAGCAGUGGGGAAUAUUGCACAAUGGGCGAAAGCCUGAUGCAGCUAUGCCGCGUGUAUGAAGAAGGCCUUAGGGGUUGUAAAGUACUUUCAUCGGGGAGGAAAAAACAAAACUAAUAAUUUUAUUUCUUGACGUUACCCGAAAAAGAAGCACCGGCUAACUCCGUGCCAGCAGCCGCGGUAAUACGGAGGGUGCUAGCGUUAAUCAGAAUUACUGGGGCGUAAAGAGCACGUAGGUGGUUUUUUAAGUCAGAUGUGAAAUCCCUGGGCUUAACCUAGGAACUGCAUUUUGAAACUGAAAUACUAGAGUAUCGUAGAGGGAGGUAGAAUUCUAGGUGUAGCGGUGAAAUGCGUAGAUAUCUGGAGGAAUACCUGUGGCGAAAGCGGCCUCCUAAACGAAUACUGACACUGAGGGUGCGAAAGCGUGGGGAGCAAACAGGGAUUAGACUACCCGU